AGAGGGAUAGCUGGGUCAAAUGGUGGUUCCAGUCCAAUUUUCUAAGAAAUCUCCAUACUGCUUUCUAUAUUGGCUGCACCAGUUUGCAGUCCCACCAGAGU
rnacentral:pre_miRNA from 1 species